CAAGCUGGCCUCAAAUUCUUGAUCCUCUGGUCUCGACUUCCUAAGUAGCUGGAAUUGUAGACGUGCAUCAUCUCGCCCAGCUUUUCAACUACUUUUCAUUUGGGCUUCUUUUGAAUACUUAUUCACCAUAGGUCUAUGUUGUUUUAAGCAUCACAAACGCCAGAUGACGUGUCUUACGCUUACUGUAGACCAGGUGUUCUUCUCAGUUCCUUGUAACAUCAAAAUCCAUGUUUGCCAGGCAUGGCCAUUCAUGCCUAUAAUCCCAGCCUUCAGGAAGCUCAGACAGGAGGAUCCUUGCAAGUUUGAGACCAGCCUCGUCUACAAAGUGAGCUCAAGGGCAGCCUGAACCACAUAGUGAGACCCUCAAACAAAGAAGAAGACCAAAAAAAAAAAAAAAAAAAAAUCCACGUGCUGAGCUAGGCAUGGUUGUGGGUCUGGAGUCCCAACUACUUUGGAGACCAAAGGAAGAGGGCACCUUGAGCUGAGGAGUUGGAGGGUAGCCUGGGCAACAGGACAUCCUGCCUCAACAAAACAAAUACAAAAUGAAACUAAACAAAAUCAUAGUCUUAGCCCUACUGGUGCCUUAUAUAUAUAUUCGGUUAUACAGGCUGCAGCCAAAUCUGUGCAUUACAAGUAUAUUUCCACUUUGCCAGAACUUUACUUUAUGAGGUUUUCUGCUUUGGGAAGAUUUCUGAAUACGACCUAGUCAAAUUUUGUGUUUAAUUCUGACUUGGGUAACAUGCUCAGAGAGUCCUAUCAAACAUAAUUUUUUCAUUUGUAUUUUUCUGCACGUGACUUAGAUUUACAUCUGAAUACGUUAUCUGAUUUUAAGAAAACCAGGAUGAUUUAACCUGAGCAAGGUCUAUGGGUGCACAGGCACAUACUUAGGAAGCGUUUUUUCCUUUUUCCUACUGUAGAGCUAAUUUAGGCAUCCUCAUGGAGUGAUCGAUCCUUUUUCCAUCUUUAUGAAAUGGUUUGUUUUUCAUAUGCUUUAUGUACUUUGGUCCUGCGGAUCUGAUAUAAAACCUCUUUGUGUCAUUGUGUCUCUUUUUGUUUGUCUUGUGGUAGUGGGGCUUGAACCCAGGGCAUUUGUGAUGAGUUGCUUACAGCCCUUUUUUAUUUUUAUUUCUUAGUUUGAAAUGAGUUCUCGCUAGGUGGCUGCGUUCUGUGUUCCGGGUGUGAACUCGAUAGGCUUGCUGGCCCAGCCACCGAGAGUGCUGGGAUUACAGAGGUGGUCCACCGCAUCUGUUAUUCUUCCAAUAUCCUACUAACUUUGGUUUAUGAAUAUUUGAGAUACUUAGUUAUAAGGGUGCUGUGUGUUUGCUCAUAAAGGAGAAUGAUCAGUGGCAUCCUGCUUGAGGCAGUAGAGUUACUCCAUGAAUUAAAAUACUUUCCCAGUUUUCCUUUGCUAAGUAUUUUAAUAUUUAACAAAUAUGUUUCUCUGUCUCUCUCUGUCUCUGUAUCUCUGUUUUUUCCUGCCUGGCUGUGUGUCUCUGUGCAUGCGUACCUGUUCACGUGUGUAGUACCGGAUGAACCGAGGGCCUUUGCACUGAGCUACAUCCCAAGUCCUGUUUGGUAUUGUGUUUGUUGUUUUUAAUUUUAAAACACUCUCACUGAGUGCCCAAGCUGUGCUCAAAUUUAUGAUCCUCCUUCCUCAGCCUCCAGAAUCCUAGGAUUAUGCUUAUGUGCCACCAUGUCCAGCUACUUAUGGUUUUCUAAUCAGAGGGAUGCUGUGGCACCCUUCAAGGAUAUUAAGAUCCGCAGGGAAUCUCUGAGGAUAUCAGUUUUCUUAGUGAUUUGUGACAGGGUCUCGCUAAUUCAGGCUGAUCUUGAACUCAUUCUGUAGCCCAGGCUGUCCUCCAACUCAGGGUUGGAGGCCUCGGCUUCCUGAGUGCUGAGAUGAGAGGCAUGCACUAGCAUACCUGGCUAUUUUGUUCUUCUUUUGUUUUUCAUUUUUGAUUGUUUGGUUGGUUGGUGUUGAAAGUUGUAAAAACCUCUAGACUCAUAAAAAUUCCACUGGAGCCAAAGAAGUUUCUAGAUAAUCCUGAGAACCAUGCAACAUGUAGUUCCUGGGAGAAUGUUUACCAAGUGUUGGCUUGGUUGUUGACCUAAGCGUUGCUUGAACCCUGCUUCUUUUUGAGGAAUGUAAUCAACAUGUUCCUGGUCUGUAACGGGCCGGUGAUACCCCCCACAUUGUAAAACUGACAGAUAUUGCGGUUUCAUGAGACAAAAACCCUGCUCCUUAGCUGUAAGACUCGAAGUCUUUCAUUUUGGCCCCAAAAGGCUGCGUCCGGUUGCCUGUGACAAGGCAAAGGCUAUACCAUUCAGUCAGCCCCAGACAUUAGAAGGAAAUUAAAGAAACUGGAGGGGCUUGAGGGAAUUCCCCUAAGUCACUUGGUAGAGUUAGCACAUAGUGUAUUUGACAACAGAGAGAACUGGCAAGAGGUAAAUCAUAAAAAAGUCACUAAGGUGCUGGAACUGUUAUGCAAAAAAGAAACAAGCAGAAACAAAAAGGGAAGUCAGAAGACAAGGAGAAAAAGCGCCCCCCGCUUGAGAAAACUCAAUGUGCCUAUUGUACAGAAAUGAGGCAGUGGUGAAAGGACUGCCCCAAAUUAAAGGCCAAAAUGGAGAGAGAUGCGAAGACCUUAUUGAAACAACAAGGAGGGUGUCAGGGCUCAGGUGCCCCCCCCAAGCCCUGGAUAACUCUGCAAGUGGGGGGAAACCAGUAAAUUUCUUGGUGGACAGGGGCGCAACUAUUCUAUUCUAACUCAACUGUUGGGAACUCUGACUGAUAACAAAGUAAACAUGGUCGGCGCCACCAGAGGGUGAAAAUCAUACCCGAAGGUGGUGGUCCAGUUAACUCGCCCUGGGCAAAAGACCACUAUGCAUGAAUUUCUAUGGGUUCCGGAAUGCCUUGAUCCACUGCUAGGAAGAGACCUCCUUCAUAAGGUAAAGGUCCAAUUGAGUUUUCAGGCGGAGACACCACAACUGACUCUGGGAACAACACCUGGGGAACAAAUGAAGGUACUUGCCUUCCUUCCUGAAGGGGAAAAUCAUCUCCCACUGGGAGAUGAUCCCACUCCAGAGACUGACAGAAAUGUCCUACAGGGGUGGCAAAGGGAGAUAUCGGAGUCUGGGCUGAAAAUAAGUCUCCCGGUCUGGCGGUAAACCAAGUUCCUCUGGUAAUAGAGUUGUUACCCAGGUAUCUGCCAUCUGCCAUAGACAGUAUCCAAUAAGUUUACAGACCCGCCAAGGAAUUGCAAAACAUAUUGCUAGUUUAAAGGAUAAUAAGAUUCUUGUACCUUGCAUCUCUCCCUGGAAUACACCAUUGCUCCCAGUCUGUAAGUUGUUGGACCCAAGAUUACCGGCCAGUGCAAGAUCUCCAGGAAGUCAACAGGUGAGUGGUCACCCUGCAUCCUACUGUCCCUCAUCCCUACACUUUGCUGAGUCUUCUGAGCCCAGAUCACAUCUUGUAUUCUGUCCUGGACUUGAAAGAUGCUUUCUUCACCCUCCCGGUGGCCCUGGAUGUCAACCCAUUUUUUUUAAUGGACUGAUCCAGGGAUUGGGAUAACUGGACAAUUGACUUGGACUCGUUUACCACAAAGUUUUAAAAAUGUUCCCACAUUAUUUGAUGAGGCCUUAGCUAGGGACCUGAUGGGGUAUCGAGAAGAUCAUCCAGAGGUCAUACUUUUGCAAUAUGUUGAUGGCCUGUUAAUGGCCACCAAAACCUUUUAGGAUUGCAAAGAAGCCACCAGGGCCCUGUUAGUGACUUUACAUGAUUUGGGAUAUAAGGUAUCAUCAAGAAAGGCUCAAAUAUGCCAGCAGACAGUGACCUACCUGGGCUGUCAAUUGCAAGGUAGAAAGAGGACCCUUUCAAUAAAAGGGUUCGAGCUAUCCUACAAACACCAGUAACAAAGACCAAGAAGCAAGUCUGGGAGUUUCGUGGUGCAGUGGGAUAUUGUAGGCUCUGGAUAUUAAACUUUGCUGAGAUAGCCCAGCUGCUAUAUGACUCUUUAAAGGGGCAAACACAAGGCCCACUAGAAUGGACAGAAAUGCAAGAGAUAGCCUUCCAACAAUUGAGGCAGGCCUUAAGAAAUGUCCCCACACUGGGACUCCAUAUCAUAUAUAAGCCAUUUUUCCUGUGUGUGGAUGAACUGAGAGGAAUUGCAAAAGGAGUAAUAACUCAGGAACUGGAACCCUGGCAGAGACCAAGAGCUUAUUUCUCCAAAAGGUUGGAUGCAGUGGCUGCUAGUUGGCCACCAUGCUUGAGGAUCAUAGCUGCCAUGGCUAUGCUGAUAAAGGAAGCUAAGAAGCUUACCUUUGGCCAGAAGAUCACUGUGGUAACCUCUCACUCACUUGAGACUCUUAUCUGACCUCCUGACUGAUGGCUGACAAAUGCAAGGUUGUCAAAUGCACUACCAAGCAUUACUUUUAGAUCCUGACUCUAUUGCCUUCAAGUCCUUGGUAGCCCUGAAACCAGCCACACUGUUGCCCGAUGAGGAUCCUUCAGCCCUGCAUCAUGAAUGCGCCACCUUGAUCAACAGCUACCAAAGCCUCGGACCCGACCUGACUGACCAACCUUUAGAGGGUGUAUCAUUACUCUUCUCGGACAGAAGCAGCUACAUGCACCAAGGGCCCUGCAAGAACUCGAGUGGGGAACAAGAGCCUUGGCCCCAGAGUGCCCGGGAUCAGGCGAGGCCCUGCAGAGCAAGUGUUUGAGCAACCCCUGUGUGAAAUCCACCAGCACAGCACCUUCUGCCUUGCACAGAAUCCUGAAGAAAUCAAUGCCAUAUCCCAGCUGGGAGAGAAAAAGGAAAGGCUUUGUGGUUUGAUGUGUAUUUUCAUGUGAGUCCUUGGUACGGUGACACUGGAAGACAAAAAGAGGAAAACCCCAUGAAUUUGCUUGCACAUGAGUGGCUGCCACCCAGGUGACCGAGAAAUCCUGUUCCUGAUUCCCAAAGAGCCUGGCCAUGGAAACGUGACCCUGACUGUGGAGCCAUGCUGUGUAGAGUCCAGGUGAGCCAGGUUGAGUCUCCCAGCCUGACGGGCAGCUUCGCCCCAGAAGGUCCAGUGGGUAACCACACAGGUGAUGCCCAGUCCACUUCCGAGGGGCCCUGGAUCAAGUGCUUGGCCUUUGGGAACAGUGGAGGGCAUCCUAGUGCUGAGUGAUGCCGGCUGGCCCUUCAAGGCACAGGGCUGUUGUGACGCCAGGGUCCCUGCCCCUGGGGUGUGCCUGUCCCCUCCCCACAAGGACCCAAUGGGCCUAAGUGGCUGUAGAUGAAGAAAUGCUCCUCAGGACCCCUGAACCAGUCAACAACCACUGCUCCCUCAGCUCGCCCGAGAGGUGCCCUGUGAGAUGCCUGAGAUGCUGCAUCUAACCAGAGACAGGUGAUCCGUACAGGAAAAUGAAGGUGGGCAAAUGGAAUGCAACCCCAGCAGCAGGCCUGGAGGAGGUGCAUGGUGGCAGAUUUGAGGAUGGGGCCCUGCAGUCUCCCUGUGUUCUCACAGGACCCCACAUAGUACUUGGGACACAUGCACACAACACUUGCUCUGCCAUGACUCACACUAGGCAGACACCCACACCAAGAGAGGUCAGCUUCCCUGGGGACAUUCGUGGGUGGAUAGGCCCUUGUCAGGCUCUCACACACACAGAUUUCAGCCUGUGUGGGGCUCCCAGUGCAUCCCAUGACACUGACCCAGUCAGGUGCUGGAGAGGCCACACAGAGUACACCAAUUCCCUGUGGUGGCUGUGAACCAGCUGGGACCCCUGGAAGGGGACUGGAGGCCAGGGAAGAGACAGGGACAGUGGAGUGUUUGCCAGUCCUCAGGUGAGCUUUUGGGGCUGGAAGGGACCCUCUGGCUGGAGGAAGCAACAUUCUGUCUCUUCCUGCAAUUUCCCUCAGCAAAUUUUGAAGGAAUGAACAAAGACAGUUAAUGUAAAUGUUGGGAGCCUGCCGUAUUACCCAUGAGAAUAUAGCCACAGGAUGGCGUCCGCCUACCGCCUCGCUGCUCCCCCGCCCAUCGUGUGCCCAAGAUGGCGCACACAUCCUGCUUCCUGGUUCUUGCUCGGCUUACUGUCCCCGCCAUAUAUGGUAAUGAUUGAUUGCUUCCUUGUUGCCACCCAAUCGCCUGUCCCCACGUGUAAUCCCAUGAUUGGAUAACAUUAGCUAUAUAAGCCCAAGUAUAGGAAGUGCCCGACGCACAACACGGAAGAAGCCGUCGAGGACGGACAUGUAUUGAGGUUGCUGCCCAGUCAAUAAAGGUGCUUGCAGAGGCUGAGUGUUCGUGUGCUCCAUUCCGCGGGACGGAAGCGGCGCCGGACAGCUGGUGUCCCGUACAGGGACUCGAAACCAUUCCCGUGCCUUCUUCGGCUCCUGUGACUGUGUUGAAAGACGGUACGUACCUGCGGGUGAGCGGCGGCUUAACCCGGCCCUUGGUGGACGCACUUUAAGGGACCUACUGGUCGACCCCUUGAGGGGAUCGACAUUGCCCGAACAAGAAGGGCAGGCCUCUGUUGGCUAUUGCGCCUCGGGGCUCUUUAAUUUUGUUAAGAUGGGCAAUGUUAACUGCGGCCCCCUCGCCUUAUCGCUGUGGUUGUUGCUUAAGGUGCGAGGGAUUAGGAUAGAUAAGCAAACGGUGCUGCAGUUUUUCAAAUGUAUCGAUGGUUUGGCCCCAUGGUUUCUGCCCACCGGAUCCCUCACUUUACCCUCCUGGGAGAAGUUAGGAUGUGAUAUUCAGUUUGCUGAGGAACAAGGGAUGGAUGUCGACCCUAUGGUCCGCCCCAUAUGGGAGAUGGUUCGGGCAUGUCUCAAAACUGAAAGUAUGGUAGGCAUACCAUACCCAGAGACUCAAAGAGGCAUGCCACGCUUUCGAGCAGGCGCGCUCGGAGAGCUCCAGGGAGGCCUCAGAGGUUGGCUCACCGAGCCAUUCAGAUUCAGAGGGGGAAGACCCUAAGGUGGGCCCAGAGGAGGAAACUGACAGUAAGAUAGGCCCACAUCGCAAUACAGGGCAGAAAGUUCAUAAACCUGCUGGAGCCUUGUGUGAAGGGCUGAUGGAGAGCUUAGAGGAAGAGCUCGAGAGAGUGGAGAAUGAUAUACAGGAAGUACAUACCCCAGGCGGGACGAGACCAACCCUGUCUGCCCCUCCCUGGGAGCCACCCCAGGAAAUGAGCGCACCUGAAGGCUGGGGGCCACCCCCUCCCUUCCCUGCCACACUUCCGUCCUCCGGACGCCGCUCGUUUCAUGGUCGCUUGUGGGACGUCCUGCGUAGGGGCCUUGCCUCAUAUGCUGUUUUUGAUAAGGAGGGCAAUUCUCUGACUGGCCGUAAAGACUCACAGCCAAAAAAUGGCCAGAGGGGGCCCUCCUACAAGGCGGGCCCCCUUUCCCCCAGCAGCCCCUUUCCGGGAGUGAACAGCCAGUUAGGGCUACCCCAGGGUCAGCAGGAGUGGACCUCUGUGCUGCCUCCGGACUCAUACUAACACCUGAAAUGGGAGUCAAAUUGAUAGAAACUUCAUUUAAGGGGCCAUUGCCACCGAAUACUGUUGGCCUGCUUUUAGGGCGCUCUUCAGUGGCCCUUCGUGGCCUUACAGUUGUGCCAGGUGUCAUUGAUUCUGAUUAUAUGGGCAAGGUUAAGAUUAUGGCUCAGUCAUUACAAGGAACACUGAUUAUAAACAAAGGGGAUAGGAUAGCCCAGUUACUUAUUCUGCCCAGCUUGCAUGGUCAAUAUCCAGCUAAGCAACAGUCUCGGGGUGCCCAGGGAUUUGGGUCCAUGGGCGAAAAUUUUAUUGGCCUUCAUAUGACCUUGCAGGAACGACCCAUGUUGCUCCUCUCAAUCAAUGGUAAGAAAAUUAAGGGGUUGCUAGACACCGGCGCUGACCGCUCUAUCAUUGCUCAUAAAGAUUGGCCGGCCUCCUGGCCCCUCAAUGUGGCAGAAUAGACCCUUCAGGGAUUGGGAUUUGUGCAUUCACCCAGUAUAAGUGCGCAGUCCCUUCCCUGGCAGGACGAGGAGGGACAUGGUGGGUCUUUUCAACCCUAUGUCCUUAACCUCCCAGUAACCCUUUGGGGCAGAGAUAUUCUAGUCCAAAUGGACAUCACCCUACAUACGGGAUGUUCCGAGGUGGCUCAAAACAUGAUGAAGCAGAUGGGCUAUACCCCCGGUAAAGGCCUGGACAUUUAGCUCAGCAGCAUAAGCGCCUGCCUUGUAAGCAGGCAGUUGUGAGUUCAAUCCCUGGUAUUGAUAAAAACGAAAAAGACAAAAAAAAAAAAAAAUGAGCAGCCUAUGUUGUUCUCUCCCUGAUCUUUGGGUUCCCGUCCAAGCCCAGGACACUCUCCUCGUUGCCAACCAGAACAAAAGGAGGGAUAAAAGAUUGGUUGUGGCAGGCAGUGGGGGUGGUCUCUUCUCUGUUUGUCCCUGCAGUGGGACAGGCUGUUUUGCAGGCAUGGACCUCCGACCAGCUUGCGCUGACCAUGGAUGCAGUCAAUCGGCUGAGCAACGCCACACUAGAGACCAUCAAGGCUCAAAGGCAACAGAUUGAGCUUAACAGCCAGGCUAUACUUUGGCUACAAGAAGAGAUCCAGCUCAUCGGGCAGGAGAUUGAUGCGUUGUGGCAGGUUGCCACUCAACUCUGUGAUCAGAGGUGGCUGCCUUUCCGGGUCUGCGUCACCCCUGUUCGCACCAACCUGACUGAAACUACAAAGACUAUGACUAAAUGGCUGCAGGACACUUGUUUGCCAAAAUUUCACAACCUGUCAAUGAUUGUUAGUCAGGAAUUAGACGAAAUAGAAAAAAUUCAGUUGAACCCGGUUAGAUUUGAUUUGUCUACCCUGAGUGAUGUUCUAAAAGGUUUAUGGAAUCAUGUCACCUCUUGGUUCUCCUGGUCCAAUUUGACUACCUGGAUUUUUAUUGCUGUUGCUAUCCUGGUUGGAUUAGUGGUUGUUAAAUGCUUGCUUGAUCGUUUGAUGCAGACUCAACAACAAGUCAGAUUUACAGCCAUGGUGGCUAUGCAGCUGGCGGAGGCUGGCCCAUCUGGUGGUCGGGCGGCUGCAUAUCUCCUUCAUGUUGCAGAGCAUCAGUUAUAGGGAUGCUGAAUGGGCGAGCCGAAGACAGGUAAGAUCAAGGUACCCCACCUUGCUCAACCUAAGACAGGUCCCGUUCCAUUAAGACAGCAAGAGGCACCAAGGUGCGAGACCAGAUGGUACUGCAUGACAUUCUACUCUUGGGGUUUUUGAAGAGAGAUGUCAGGCUAUACAUCUGUAUGCAUCUAGGUUUCAUCCGAAUUACCCUAGCCCUGCGCAAAAGGAUGAGGCUUGGAGGUCCCUUCCGACGCGGGGGUGGCCAACCUGUGCUGGGGGAUGACCUCAGAGCCAUGCACAGCGGGGUACAGACCUCUGUAGUCACUUGGAAGGUCUCGCUGUCCUUUCUUGUAAAUAAGAAAGGGGGAGAUGUUGGGAGCCUGCCGUAUUACCCAUGAGAAUAUAGCCACAGGAUGGCGUCCGCCUACCGCCUCGCUGCUUCCCCGCCCAUCGUGUGCCCAAGAUGGCGCACACAUCCUGCUUCCUGGUUCUUGCUCGGCUUACUGUCCCCGCCAUAUAUGGUAAUGAUUGAUUGCUUCCUUGUUGCCGUCCAAUCGCCUGUCCCCACGUGUAAUCCCAUGAUUGGAUAACAUUAGCUAUAUAAGCCCAAGUAUAGGAAGUGCCCGACGCACAACACGGAAGAAGCCGUCGAGGACGGACAUGUAUUGAGGUUGCUGCCCAGUCAAUAAAGGUGCUUGCAGAGGCUGAGUGUUCGUGUGCUCCAUUCCGCGGGGCGGAAGCGGCGCCGGACAUGUAAAGAAUAGCCUCUGCCUGCAGCCCACUCACCAAAUCAGAAGGGCAAAAGGGCCUGGAGGAAUGCAGAGCCCAGGGGAUCCACAGGCUCUGGGCCCACCUGCACUGACUUGAGCUGAGUGCCGUGUCCUGUCUUCCUCCACAGGACCAUGGUUGGUCCACUUGGCCUCCUGGUCCUCCCAGUCCCCAGCACCACCAGGAACCUCUUGCUGAGUUUCAACUACAUCAGGAAUGUCAUUGGCUCCUUGUUCCCCUUCCUGGAGCAGCUCCAGCUGCUGGAACUCGAGUCCAAGUUAACUCCCUUGACCAUUGGCACUGACCCAGAACCUGCCGAACCUCAGGAUCUUGGACUUAGGUGACAGCCCAUCUCCAGCGGUCCCAGCUGUUCCACAGCAAAGAAUUCACCAAUGUAAAGUGUACAUUUCAGUGUUUCUCAGUACCCUGACACAUGUGCACCCACCACCACCAUCAAUUUUAGGACAUUUUCAACACAUAAAAGAAACCCUGUGUCUAUAGCAGUCACUGAUUUCUCCCCUUCCGACCCCUGCUGUUUCUAGCCCUGGGCCAUCCUUAAUUUAAUUCAUCUAUUCUGGCAUCUCAUGUAUGUGGAAUCCUAUAAUUUAUUGUCUUUGGUUAGCAGCUGUGUUUAAGAUUAUUUUGAGAAAAGAAAACACAUUGAUGUUGUACUCUACUCAAAAAACAAGGCCCCAUGAGGAAAAACGGGGCAAGACCCCAAAAUGACAAAUGGGGCAAGACAUCUUUAUAAAAGAAACGAUUUUAUUUUAGCUGGCCCAGCAACACAGUGCAGAUGGAAUUUGCAAAGCUGUGCAACUGAGUUAGAGUUUUGGCUGACUUUUAUAGUUCAUUUAUGAUUAACUCAUUGAUCAUUAAGUACAUAGUGAUGAGAAACAGAAAUAAGGUGGGCCUUUCUUUGUUCCCUUUUGCUUGAGGUCAGAGGCAUUUCAGAGUGGGUGGUUAGCCAAUUCAUAGCCCUUGGUCUGCCAAUUCCAGGAACAUUUGUCUCUCAUAAAGGGAACAAUGGUUGACAUUUGUCUCUUACAAGGGGAACAAAAGUUGACAUAGCACACAGGUCACUAAGGGGGGGGGAUGUCACAUUACAGAACAGCAGAACGACAUGGGCAGUUAAUUUAUAACUAUGUGGUUGGUGCUUGGUUACUAGGGUAAUGAGCUCAGUACAGAAUGACAAUAUUACUAAUAAGUAUAUUUUUAAAUAACUAUGUUAAUUAUCUUUUUAUCAAUUAUUUUAAUUUUUAGCAUCUUAGUAUAACAUUCCCCACUGAGUUUUGUCAGUGUUCCAAAUCAUUGGCUCAUGGAAUUUUUAAGCAGUGGUGUUUGUUCAUAAACUUGUGUCCUUAAAACCAUGAGUUUUAUUGUAUGAACCUGGUCUUUGACAUAAUUUACUAAUCUGUUUAUAAUGCAAGGUCCAAUUGUUAAACAAGUAAGUAAGAUUAACACAGGUCUGGAGGCUGCUAUGAUUAACGUUGUCAACCAGGGAGAUAGAGAAAACCACCACUCAAACCAAUUCUGUUCAGCUUGUCUGGCUUGUUCUUGAUCCUGUAGCUGCCUUUUAAGGCUGGCCAUACCUUGUCUGAUAACCCCAUAAUGAUUGGCAUACAGACAAAAAUUUUUGCCUAAUGCCAGACAAAGGCCUCCUUCCUUUUGGAACAGGCGUCUAGACCCUGCCAGUUUUGUAAAACCAUCUCAGUCAGUGAACUUAAAGAAUCAUCUAAUUUGGAGACAGAGUCACUAAGGGCUGUUAAAUCUUGGUCAAUGAGUGCAGGUAAGGUGUCUAUAAUUUUGGUUUUUUUGACUAUUAGGCUGGACACUCUUAAACCUAUUGACCUUGUUAUACUGGACUCUUUAAGUCAAAGCUAGGAAACAAGUGACUCUUACCAUUAUCUCUAGAGUACCAAUACACUUGGGGAAAGAUAUGUCUAAUAUGUAAUGCUCAAGGCACUGGGUGAACAGGUGAUGCAUGGAACAAGGAGUUAUUAGAAGUACAGGCAAACCAGGCUCCAUUGGGAGCAACAAGGUGUUAAUUAGCAGGAUAGGAAAAAGUAUAAAUCAAAGCUGAAGAGGUAGAAUUACAGAGUGCAGCAUAAGGGGAAGUGUGUAAAGAGUAGGAGGCAGAGGAAACACAGGUUUCUGGAGCACCCUGUACAUUGUCCAGUGUCAGCAGGGGCUUAGCAACCCACCAACAAAAGGUGUCAUCUCUACAGGAAUUUAAAACAAGAUUUAGAACAAGAUUUAGAAAAUUUAGAACAAGAUUAUCAGAUACAUUUGGCAAUCUUAAGCUUUAAAGAAUCCUUGAAGGGAACAACAGUCCACUUAUCUGUAUGUUGAUUGCUGUCAGAGGCCAGAACUGGUUUGACGUGGUAAUGAUGAAUCGAGGCAGGCUUUUUUGUGACUUUGAUGCCAUCCAGAGUGUUGAGAACCAUGGUGUAAGGGUCUUCUCACCAUGGUUUGAGAGACUCACGGUGAUGUCUCUUGAUGAGUAGUGUCCUAGGUUUCACUGCACGACAUUCAUCCUCAGGAUGGGUUGCAGCAGAGGUUGUUGUUCUCGGAAUAACUGGUGGAUGGAAGUCAGAGAUAGCUAAAAGGCCUGGAGGAACUUAACAAGAUCUUGAUUAGCCAGAUCAGCUAUUUUUUUUUUUUUUAGAAAUCUUAGGAAUAAGAGGAGGAGGUCUCCCACAUAGAACAUUAAAGGGGAAACAACUGUAACAUAUGGGGUACAUUGUGCACGCAAGAGAGCAAAAGGAAGGAGACUCACCCAGUUCUCGCCAGUUUUUAAUACCAUCUUAGUUAUUACCAUUUUUAAAGUCUGGUUUAUCCUUUUUACUUGUCCUGAACUUUAAGGCCAGUAAGCACAAUGGAAUUUUCAAUCAACCUGCAAAACGUGGGUUAGUUUUUGAGUUAUCUGGGCUAUAAAAGCCGGGCCAUUGUUAGACCCCAUAGAUAAAAGGAGGCCAAAUUGGGGAUUCUCCUAUCAGGGCUGACUCAAGACUUAGUAGGAAAUCUAUCUACCAGUAUUCAUUCCCUUAAAGUCCAGGCUUUUUUAUUUUUGUGAACUCUAUUUCUCAAUGUUUUUCAGGCAUAGUCCCACGAUACCAAGUGGUUUCCAUUUGUUGUGGUUGCUUAGGGUUUACCAACUGGCACUGAGGGCCUCUAAGGCUCACAGCCUGAGUAAGCUUUGAUAACUGAGGGAUAAAGAAAUGAUCUCAAAAAGAGCAGCGAGAUUUGACCCUCCCAUGUGAGUGGACUGAUGAGCUUGUUGGAUGAGUUUUCAUCUCAAGGCCUCAAAGAGGAGGACUCAAUUAUCAGGCAGUUGGUACCAGCCCCCAGGGAUAUCAGACUUUGCUUGGAGUUGAGCUGCGAAAUGUAAGUCUUUUUGAGUGCAAAAGGGCUCUGACAGAGUGGGUGGAAUCAGUAGCAAUGCUGGGAUUGUCUCAAUCCCCACUGAUUUUGUGGCUGCUUUUUGGGAGGCUGCGACUCUGUUAUAGCCAUAAUCCUUGGCAUCCAAAUAGCAGCUAACAAAUCCAAAACUUGGGGAGCAUUUUUAUCUUUUGGCCCCCUUAAGUCAAUAAACCUCAUUCCUGAUCAAUGGCCCCAUGAACAUGGGCAGUAGCAAAUACAUAUCUGCUAUCAGUCUGACAACUUGAGGGCCUCAGUGAGGGCAAUGAGUUCAGCCCAUUGGGCUGAUGUUUUUGGCUCCAAGCUUUGUUCCCAUAGAAUCUGAGAGUCUGUGACAGCGGCUCCCAUAAUCUGCUUACCUUGAUAGAUGUGACUGCUUCCAUCAGAGAAAUAUGAUGGAACUCCGGACAGUGGCUCAUCUGUCAAGUCUGGUCGAAGCCCCAUGAAAUGAUCAGAGGGGCAAGGAGAGAUCAUAAUUGGGCAGCUGAGUAUCUGGGUUUAAAGGCACUGUCCCCUUGAAACUGAUGGUAGUCAGAUCCAGAAGUAAUGCCUGAUAGUGCAUGACUUGGGAGUUAGGCAGCCAUCCAUCCAGUGAAGCUUUGAUGAGAGUCUCCAGUGAAUGAGAGGAGAUAAUUAAAAGUUUUUGUCCAAAUGUCACCUUUUGGGCCAUUUUCACCAGGAGGACCACCGAGGCAAUCAUCUGCAGGUGAUGGCUGUCACAUUAUCAAGGCUCUUGGAAAGAUAGGCAAUAGGCCUUUGCCAUUGUCCUAAACUCUGGGUCAGUACUCCUUUUGCUAUCUCUUGUUUUUUAUCAACACAGAGGGAAAGAGAGGUUUUUGUAACUUUGACAGAGCCAGAACUGGAGCUUCUGUUAAGGCUGAUUUUAAUUGCUGAAAAGCCUGGUCUCAUGAGUCUGUAAUCUAAAGCAGGCAAUAUCCUAUGGCUCCUAGAAAUUCUCAUAUUCGCUUUUUAGUCACAGGAACUGGAAUCUGUUGAAUGGCUUGCACCAGCUGGGAGGAAAGAGUCAGUUCUAAGCAAAAUCUAGUAAUUACCUGAGGGGCAUUUCUUUAAAUCUCUGAGGCCUUUGUAAUUGUUGCUUAAUAUCAGGGGCUGACAGUUACAAAGGUAUUACUAAUGGCCCUUGCCUUUUUUAGGUGCUACCAGAUCUACAGGUGUACAAAUGUAAUAGGCCUCUAGCAAUCUCUCCAGAAACCCCGAGGGAGACUCAUCACCCAAUUGUCUCCCUUCUGCUACCUUGGACAAAUUGGUGGGUUUUCUGGUAGCCCUUAAAGGCUUCUGAGAACAACUGGCGAUACUUAACCAGAGCCUUCUUACCUCUGGUUGUCCAAUCAGGGCGGAACAAAGGGAAAACACGGUUCUGGCAUUCGGGAUCAGAGGACAGGUUUUUAUUUGGAAUGCACACUGCUUUUUAUCCCACAACAUGAAUGUUUUUUUUUUCUCUUUUACUGUAAACAAAAUCUGCAAAAUCUGCUGGCAGUCAUCACAAGUGGGGUGAUGAAUGGAGAAGACAAAUUCCAAAAGACAAAUAAGGCCCUGAGGGUCCUUAGAAAAAGGGGGGUGAGGAAGAGGAGUCCAGCAAUUCAGAACGCUGAUGGCUUCUAGUCCAGAUGGGACUGAGAAUUACAGUCCUUUUAAUUUUUAUUUUCAUAGGCAAAUAUAUUUUAUAUAUGGUCAACACUGACUUUUUAUCAUUAUAUAAACUUAGGAUGACAAAGGGCUCCAGGUUGUCCUCCCCUUUUUGAAAUAUAAUCUCAUUUUAAUGGAAACAUUUUGCAGUAAAGGUUUACUGAUCCAAUACUGUCAAAUUCUGAACACAUUUGUUUUUCUGUUUCUGUUUAUUACCAGUCAAUUACCUUUUUUCUAGCUUUUUAGACAACAUUAAAACUUUUAACAAAAUCCUUGAAGUGACGUUCUUAGUAGUCUAAAAUAUAUUAAAUCAUUUUAUGUCUUUUUACCACCUUAAAAUAUUACACUUUAAAAACUGUAACUUUUAAAACUGGCUCAAUAACAGUAUGACCUGUCUUUAUUUGGUAAAGCCAAUAUGAUUUUAAAAAACAUAACCAUAUAUAUAUAUAUACACAUAUAUAUAUAUGUAUAUAUGUAUGUAUGUGUAUGUGUGUAAAUAUAUAUGUAUUGUUAUAUAUUUACAUUUUAACCAGAAAAAUACCUUUAAAGGCAUGCCAAGGUUGUACAUAAUCAGUUGAGGACUAAAACAUUAAACAAGAUGCAACAAAAGACAAGACCAACAUUAAAGACACAAACAAAGGAUUUUCUGUCCAUGGUUCGGCGACCUAAAGGGAAAUAAAUUUUCAUUAUGACCCUUAAGUCCAAUAAGCUGCAUGGAACUUGCAACAGUAGUUUCAGAGAAAAAAGAAAUCUAAAUUUUAGUACUGAGGUAACAGAUUCAAAUGAACAAAUGACUCCACCAUUAAAACAUACCAAGCACAAAACCAAAUGGAUAAAAAAUCCCAAAUCACAAAUGGGCUAGAAGCCCUGUCCCAGAGGGCGUCCCGCUCCGGUGCAGAAGGAGCCAGCCAACCUCCUCUAAACUUCAAAGGUGCGCACUCAAAUUACAAAGAACAAAAGAUCCAAAUACUUAGAGACGUUUCAAGCCGAACGAUCGGUGAAAAAAUGUGUGUGUGGGGGUGCCCGUGUAAUCCCGGAGAGCCCCCAAAUGUUGUACUCUACUCACACAAUAAGACCCCAUGAUGAAAAAUGGGGCAAGACCCCAAAAUGACAAAUGGGGCAAGAAGACUUUUUAAAAUAAGCACUUUUAUUUUAGCUGGCCCAACGACACAGUGCAGAUGGAAUUUGAAAAGCUGUGCAACUGAGUUAGAGUUUUGAAUGAUUUUUAAAGUUCAUGUAUGAUUAGCUCAUUGAUCAUUAAGUACAUAGUGAUGAGAAACAGAAAUAAGGUGGGCCUUUGUUCCCCUUUGCUUGAGGUCAGAGGCAUUUCACAGUGAGUGGUUAGCCAAUUCAUAGCCCUUGGUCUGCCAAUUCCAGGAACAUUGUCUCUCAUAAAGGGAACAAUGGUUGACACAGCAUCAUUUGUCUCUUACAAGGGGAACAAAAGUUGACAUAGCACACAGGUCACUAAGUGGGGGGGGGAUGAUGCAUUACAGAACAGCAGAAUGACAUGGUCAGUUAAUUUAUAACUAUGUGGUUGGUGCUUGGUUACUAGGGUAAUGAGCUCAGUACAGAAUGACAAUAUUACUAAUAACUAUAUUUUUAAGUAACUACUUUUGUUAAUUAUCUUUUAAUCAAUGAUUUUAAUUUUUAGCAUCUUGUAUAACAAUGGAUACAUUAAGUAAAAGAUUACAACACUAAUUAGGGUGUCUGUUGUAUGGUGGUUAUAAAGAAAAGUAUUACAUUCCAUUUUUAAUGAUAAAAUAAUUACAGUGGGAUUUUUGGCUUCUUAAUUUAAUCACUAUUUUUCAUUUGCUUUUGUUUCCAAGGAAUAUUUGGGAAGCUUAGCAUUGCACCGCAUGACCCUGAAGACUGAACUGUUUGCCCUUUCUUAUCUUUUCUUAAAAGCUUGCUCAGGGAGAUCUUGUUCUGGGUGCUGUUCUUAGAGUAACAGCUCGGAGCAUCCAGAGAAGAAGUCCUCCCGCUGCAGCAGCUCGCUAACUGCGCUAACUGCGCAGGGUGUGCACAGGGCAGAUGUAGCCCUGGGCGCUGUGCUUCUCUGCUGGAGCUCUUGCGAGGUUAUCAAUCCAUGUGUUAGUGGAAGAUUGGAGAAUAGUCUGCAGUGGUGCUGCAUGUGUGCUUGUGUGUGUGUGUGUGCACGCGCAUGUGUGCAUGCUUGAGUGUUAAGUUUAUCAGAGCUGAGUGCUUUUUGAGUUAAUUACUUUAUCAGGAAUUAGACUGCUUCUAAGGCCAAUACCAGAUUAUGUUUCAGAUGACAUGUUCUUAGUACAGCUUGCUCUUGGUCAAGCCUUUUCUAAGGAAAAUUAAUGAGUAUAGCUUUCAGUGUGUUAAAGGCGGCUUUCAGUCCCAGGCUGUGGAGGAGGAAUACAGGGAUGCGGAAGACGGAGCCUGCACCCAGCGACCAUGAGCUUCGGUAGCAGCAGGCAGAACCAGCAACACUCAGAACCGCUGAGCUAGGGAGCAGCCCCUGGCAGCCCAGGGAAGAAAGUGCACACACUCGUCGACUACUGUGCAGAGAGGGAGAGGAUGACACUGCUGGGCUCCACCAUGCCCAGGCCGGAGGCGGUUGGGAGUGACGAGGUGGGCGCUGGCUCCCAGGACCCUGCUGGAGCACUGCAAUCGGGGUGGGCCCGCACACGGCCCAGGGCUAAGUGAAAACCUCGAGCCUGGAGUACCCAGGCUCUGUACCAGAGCUCAGGGAACCGUGCCCAGGGCAGGUGGCACCGUGCCCCUGAGUCUGGGCCACGAGGCCCCGGAGAGACUCAACUGAGUGGGCUCUUGGGAUGUCGCGGCCUGCAAAGUUCAGGCUGGCAGAGGGCUGCCUUGUGGGCGGCUCUGCAACUGGAGGCGGGGAGCACUCAUCGCCUCUCACAGGGUAUGGGCCAAAGAGCCUUUCUGGCUCUCGGGACCUGUGGCGACAACACGCACUGGUUACCACUUCUCUGCAAUGGUUAAGUUCCCUGAGCUGCACUCAGAAGGACAGAGCGCCCACCUCUGCGGGGCGCAUUCUGCACUUCUGGCUGGUCCGGCAUCGGCUUGCCGAUCACUGGCUCCUCUUGACUCAUGGCCAGCUUCUCGGUCAUCUCCAGGAGCCUGCAUGCAGACAGAGUGCAGCUGGGGUGACCAUAGCCACUCGGAGCGGGCUGAAAUGUGGGCACCACGGGUCAUGCCACGUGGCUGCUCACCUUUGCCGCAGGCUGGCAGCCUCCCGCAUCUCCUUUGCAAUUAGGCGCUCGGUGUGCCAGGCUUUGACCUGUGGAGACAGAGGGGCCAGCUCAGCACAGAGGCUGACUGAAGCUGGAGGGGGCGAGCUGAGGAGGCAGCUCUUACCCAGUUCUCCUGGACUUUCUCCUCGUGAAUAGCAAGCUGCAAGAGAACAAGGCAAGACACAGGUUGAGGGACGCGGCACCAUGGCUGCAGCCCUCCGCUGCAGCCCUCUGAUGUCUGUCUGUGUGGGGGAUUAAUGCAAGCUGUCACCACGCGGCUGCCUAUUCCUUACCUGGUUUUUAAAUGAGCGCUCUGUUUUCUCUAAUUCUUGCUCGAUUUCAUGAAUUCUCUGCCUAAAAAUAAUACGUAGCAGUUAGAACCAAAUAAAAUCUGAAACAAUCUGACCAUGUCUGAUCUUUAAAGUCCUCAUCAUACAGAAACAUUUUGUAAUGUGAUGAGCGCAGCGUGAACAACCUCAGUUUCUUGAUUUUUCAUUUAAUGGCUAGAGAUUAUGAGUUGACAACUUGUAAAUUUCCUUAACUGUCCUUGUAAUAACAUUCUCAAAAUAAUCUGGCUAAGGGUACCUUCCCCAUAAAGGUUUUUCCCUCAAAUUAUAGCCACAAGAAUGACCCAAAAUGCUGCCCCUGGCCUGUUGGGGCACCGAGACUCUGUGGGUGGACGUGUGACAGAAGCAGGCUGCUUUCCUAAAGAUGGGCACAGGACACUUCUGCAAAAGAGCUUCGCUGUUAACAAGCUUCCCGUCUGUUAAGAUAGACCCCCGCCCCGUGUGCAUUAAAUGCAUUCCAUGCUUGGACUGUUCAUAUGCUUCUGUGCCCAUCUCUUCUAGGUAACAAAGCAACUCUGCCCUGUUCCUCUGCCUCAGACACCACACUCACUUGUAGACUUUGACUUCCUCUGUGGCCAGCAGCACCUUCUCAUCUGCAGCCGACAGCCACUGGUCUUGCUCCUGCAGCUCCAAUUCAUCCUGAAUCAGUUUCCUAGGUGAAAGGCAGCUGCCAGGGGUGAGCUAGCCCACAGGCCACUUCCCCAUCCAGCAGCAGGGCACAGGGUCUCAGGAGGGAGGUGAAGCUCCAGGCUCCGGGCCAUUUGCUUGUAUUCUUGUAUUCUCCUACCUCUCCUUGUAAUUCUCUAAUCAGCAAACAGAACAAGCUAAGAGCACAGCAUGCGCCAGGCACUAGCUGCCUGUGUGGGAGAUGAGUGCACCCUGAGGGAAGCCAGGAUUGCCCAGCAGAGCUGGCUGGAAAAGCAAUGGGCGGAGCCCCCCCCCCCAUCCUCCAUGCUGUCUGGGAAGAGCUGUUCUUCUAGACCUUGGCCAUGAUAAGCACACAGGGAAUGCCGAAUGGGUGGACGGGAGCCAGCCAGAAAGUGACCUGGGGGCCCCAGAGGCCAGUGCUGCCCUCCUUCACCCACACAUUGAGGACAAUACCAAAGACGCUGAACUGAGCUUUAGACAAAUCCCUAGGCUUUAAGAAACAAGCAUGGAGCUGAGUCUACAGAGGCAGGGAUGCUGGGUUGAAUUAUUAACUGGAUGAUGGUGACGGCUGACAGGCAGGAGCCGCCCCGGGUCACGAAGCCAGCAGCACUCUGUGCCUCAAGUUUCCUCUAUGAUCACUGCACAUCAAAGCUGUGAGACAAUCAGAAGUGACAGGGAUGGCCAGCACAAGACACUGGGCAAAAUCUCUCGGACUCACUUCUGUAGCUUCAUCGCCUUCUAUUGGUACAGCUCGUUCAGGAUCUCCACCUUCUGCUGCAGCAUCCUACACUCCUCCUCCAGCCUGGCUUUGGCUGACUGCAGCAUGCCACAGUCCUCAUUCAGCUUCUUGAUCUGGUCUGGGAGGUGAGACGUGUCACCAAGGGCACCACGAAAGACACAGAACCAGGCUCCCAGCAUCCCUGCCUCAUCCAUGCCAGUGCUCAGCCUGACCACCAUGUGUUCAGGGAACUACCUUUCAGGUCACAGUUAGCAGACAGGGAGGCUUUCGGCUUAACUUGCAGGAGUUUGAGUUCCUCCCGAAGCACGGAUAUUUUGGCUUGUGUCUGAAAAUUGUGAGGGAGAGGCACAGGCUUGAAAGUGAGGCACAGUCAGGACUCAUCGGCCCCUGGGGGUGUGCUGUGAAGGGACUCACCCCAGAGACAUCCAUCAGCUGGUUCAUGCGAGUCUUCAGCUUACUCUCCUCACCUACAAAGAGAACAAGUGUGGCUGUUUCUUCCUGUGCUGUUUCUAACACUGUUGUCCUGACUUCCACAAAACUGAACUAAUGCUCAUCAAACACUGAAAGAAAAAUAAUUCACCAACAGAACUGGCACACUGACUUUUAUGACAGCUGAACCCUUAGAUUUUGUGAGCUCCUGCCAAGACAGCAUGCCACCUGGGCUGUGGCUGAGCAGGCCUAGCUCUGCCACACAAUGGCAUAGGGGGAGCUGGCCAGCGUGGGACCCUGAGCACCCUCUGCAGCUGGGGCAGUGCCCUGACCACUUUCCUCAUCUCACACCCUGCUGCUCUCCAGCCUCUGCCCUCACAGCCUGGGCUGUGGCUCCCCCAUCCCCAUACUCUAGGUGACCCUUGGCCAAGGGCCUGAGAACCGCAGAAUAGCAGAGGCCGUGAGCGUGGAUCCAAGUGUCAUCUGCAGGAAGCUGAGAAAGUUUCUUCUCUGGCUGUCAUGGUUUAUGCCUGUGGCCCCCAGGCCUCAUGAGUUUGCAUUGUACACUUGUGAUUGGAUCAUUAUCUAGUGCUUGGAUUGAUAGUGUCGGCGCUACAUCCACAAAGGGGUGGAGCCAGGAUGUGAUGUAAUAUACGGAGCAUGGUGUGUCUUGGUCUUUUGCCAGUUUCAGCCUUGCUGUUUGCAGCCGCCAUGAACUGUGGCUAUGCCAUGCUACCCUGCCUUGGAGCCAACUGAGUACGGACUGAAACCUCCAGAACUGUAAGAAAUAAACCUUUCCUUCCUCAACUUUAGGCUUCAGAUAUUUUGUCUCCUCAAUGAGUAAAAAGUAACUAAGACGCUGGCACAGAGGCCAACACAAAGGCAAAAGGCUCCAGCGUAUACAUCCGGUUCUCAAGGGGUGGAAAAGCAGCUUUCCCUGCUUGCCUGCUGCUACUGCACCCCAGCGACCCAGACAUGAGUAUGAAUCAUUCAGAUGUUGGGAGCCAUUGAAGCUGGAAACUGACCACACGUGUAUGGCCAGGGCAUGGCUGUCCCAAGAACAAAGAUCCCCUGGGGCUGCCAUGUGAAGAAGCUUCCUCAGCCCAGAGAACACUAAGCGCCAAGAGAAUCUGAACAGUGGGCUGCUAGGACAACAGGGUGUCAUGUGACAUUAAGUUGCUAAAAGGUAUAAACAAACAGCCCUGAAGUGAGGGACCAGUUCCUUUCUUCCCAUCAGGAGGGUAAGGGCUCCCCAGGACCCCUGAUUUGUCUCUCUAUUUUCUCAUCCUCUUGUGGUCCUUCACACUAAGAACCUAAAGAGCUGCAUGGGUCGGGGCAAGAAGAAAGUCAGCUGAGAAGCAGCAUCUAUGUGUGGAAUUAAAGACAACAAUGUUUAGGAGGUUGAGGCAGAAGAUUUGCUGUGGGUUUGAGGCCAGUGUGGGCUACACAGUGAUUUCAAGACCAGCCACUACAUAGAGAGCUUGUUUAAAAUAACAGUAAAGAGAUAAAGACAAAAAAAGGGCCCUUGAAGGGUUGAGGAUUUAGCUCAGUGGCACAAGCACCUGCGUGGCGAGUGCAAGGUCAUGAGUUUGAUCCCUGGUUCAAAGAAAAGAAAAAAAAGGCCCUUGGGCUAGGGACGGUCUUACCUCCCACUUCUCCAUCGGCUAAUUCACCUGGCUCACAUCUGCCUGGACCUGGACCCUCAGAUUCAGAUCCACUCUCAAACUGAUUCAGCUGUAUGAUGCAGUUGGUCAGAGCCUAGCAGAGAAGCGAGAGGCAAUUAAGAGCCUCUCCAUCCUCACAGUGAGUUUGUUUCCGGAGUGUUCAUGAACAGGCUGGGUUGGCUAGGGUGACUUACACUGAUUCUAUCAUCCUUAUGAGCGAGAGCAGCUUCCAGAUGCCUCUGAGACAUCUUUAAGGACCUGAUUUCCUUGCUGAGUUCAGCACGCAAAUUAUCCCGGACUUCAGCUUCCUGCUCUAGCUGAAAGUCACCUGCAAGGAUCCCUGUGCACUUGGGACUGCACAGAGGCACAGGACCAUGCAAGUGGGAUGGGGAAGCAGGAGUCGUGUCCCUCCUUGCCCCAUUACAGAGGCUAAGACUUGGUUCAGGACCGUGGAGCGUGUCUUCCACCCUGAGCUGCCAAGGAAGCUGACCCCAUCCAUCAAGUCCUUCUGAAAAAUGCCUGCUGACUCCAAUGCCUGACUUCCAGAUGACACACGUGGGAAUGUAUUGUUCUGGCUUAACAAAUUCCCACUGGCAUGAACUGCUGCAAGGCAUGCAGGACUGUCCAUACCACCUAAUGGGACUAUCCUGUGUGUUCCCCCUAGUAGGCGGACAUGUGUGUCCCAUUCAAAUGGGAGCUGCUGGCAGCUAGCCAUGGAAAUUCUGGCCUCAUUGUGGGUGUGUUGAACCCAGAUCCCUGAUCUAAUCUUCCAAUGGCCAAUGUGAGGCAGUAACUAUCAGAGGAGGCUUAGCAAAGCCAUCCACUAUGUUUUAGGUAAAAUCGGGAUUCAAUGCAGUCUAGGGGGGAAAAAAAUCAGGUUAAGAGCUGAGGGAGACCCUGGAGCAAAGAUGGCGGAUAGAUAACAACUGGCUACGGAAGUUCCAUGAGAUAGUCAACUUAGAAUUAAAAAUAAUACAGAGUGGGGAGCCCCAAACCAAGGGAGAUGAAUUCUCUCAUCCCAAGAAGAAAUUAAGGUGACUUGCCAACCAUCUGAGGUCCCGCUGUGAAUGGCUGAUGCUGUGACUUGUCGGGGUCCUGCCACACCCUGCCAGGGUCCCACCACGACUUACCAGGGUCCCCCUGUGCCUUGCUGGGUCCUGCUGCACCUUGCCGGGUCCACGUGGGGGCUUGCUGGGUCCCCGACAUGCCUUGCCAUGUCGCCACCACACCUUGCUGGGCUUCCACCACCACUGGCCUGGGUCCUGCCGUGACUUGCCGGGGCCUCGCCUCGACUUGCCGGUGUUCCGCCGUGACUUGCCAAGCCGUGGGAGGUCUCGCUGCUUCGACUCACUGGAGGUGCCGUUGCAUUGAGUUGGAGGAUCAGCGAGCUGAGUUGGCGGGGAACCUACAUCGACCUGUGGUGAGUGAAGGGAGUGGAGCCAUUUCAUAAAUAGGGGGUUCUGGCAGAUGACAUUCUGGGACCUGGCAGGACUGGCAAGUACAAGGUGCAGCAGUGACUUCAGUCCAUUGUCCCCUUCCCGAAUGGGAUUGGUGGAGUGAGCUAGGUCUGGGUCACGUGAACUGGCUGAGACCCAAUAAGUUAUCUGAGGUCAAGUCCCUGCAGCUGUGUUGCACUCUAACCACACUGGCCCAGGGGGGCCUCGGAGGUUUGGCUGGAGGGGGGCCACGCAUAGUAAUACAGUAGUGCAGGCCACAGCAGCUUGACUGAUCUGGAGGGCAGGGGCCAGCAUACGCUGUCUCUGUCUGCAACUCGCUAGCACACUGCAGUGUGAAGGGUCAUCUAGCCAACAUGCUUCAGAAGAAUUGUAACCAACAAAAAGGAAACUGGGGCCUUCUGGAAGAAGCAAAAAAGAUGGGAAGAUGAAGCAAUAACAAAAAGCCCCAGGCCCCAACCCUGAGAACACUGACCCAGGACAGGUAAAUACAAA